UGGGGAAUAUUGCACAAUGGGCGAAAGCCUGAUGCAGCAACGCCGCGUGAGGGACGACGGCCUUCGGGUUGUAAACCUCUUUUAGCAAGGAAGAAGCGAAAGUGACGGUACUUGCAGAAAAAGCGCCGGCUAACUACGUGCCAGCAGCCGCGGUAAUACGUAGGGCGCAAGCGUUAUCCGGAAUUAUUGGGCGUAAAGAGCUCGUAGGCGGUUUGUCGCGUCUGCUGUGAAAACCCGAGGCUCAACCUCGGGCCUGCAGUGGGUACGGGCAGACUAGAGUGCGGUAGGGGAGAUUGGAACUCCUGGUGUAGCGGUGGAAUGCGCAGAUAUCAGGAAGAACACCGAUGGCGAAGGCAGAUCUCUGGGCCGUAACUGACGCUGAGGAGCGAAAGGGUGGGGAGCAAACAGGCUUAGAUACCCUGGUAGUCCACCCCGUAAACGUUGGGAACUAGUUGUGGGGUCCAUUCCACGGAUUCCGUGACGCAGCUAACGCAUUAAGUUCCCCGCCUGGGGAGUACGGCCGCAAGGCUAAACUUAAAUGAAUUGACGGGGUCAUAGCUGUUUCCU
rnacentral:rRNA from 1 species